AUAGAUGGGGAGAAAUUAAUUCUAGGAAACCUUUUAACAUUGUAGAAAGUCAGUAGCUCUAGCUGUACCAAAGAGCUCUUUGAAAGAGUUCCAAAUCUAAAGAAGUUAGAAAUUUCGACUGAAGAUGGAAAUCUAAUCAAAUCAAAAAAUUUGAUUGAAUAUUAGGAAUUGACACAUUUUUCUCUAGGUAAUCUGGUUAAUCUUCCUCAACUUGAGACCCUGAAAAUUAGAAGUAAAAAUGACCCUGUUAGUGUCCCUAUGAAUUUCACUUUCCCACAAAAUAUUGAAAAGAUAACUUUAGAGGGUUGUAGAAUCCCUUGGAAACAUAUGACAAUUCUUCGUCUUUUAACCAAUAAACUGCGAUAUAAUGCCUUUGAGGGGCCAGAAUGGGAGCCAACCGAAGGAGAAUUUUGCAAACUAAAAUUUCUGCUACUUCACGAAAUAGAACUAGUGCAAUGGAGAGCUAAAGACACUCACUUCCCAAGCC
rnacentral:lncRNA from 1 species